CACGGCCACCCCCCGUAGAAUCUCGGCCACCCCAUUGGCCACCCCAAGCACCGGAUCACAGCGGUCAAAAGUUUUGACGGCUGUGGAAAAAUGCGGAACCUUUCUCGCACCGCUAGUACACUGCCGGACCCUUUAGCCGCGCGCAGCGCGCACACGUCCUGUAUUUGAAUUAAACGGCUCAAGCAUGCCCUGAAUGCCUGUUACCACCUGACGCUUCGACCGGCACCUGCGGCUAAGUGAAGAAACCCAAAACAGAAAGAUUGAUCGAGAGCAGGACAGAAGAGUCCUCCCUGAGGAGUGGCCCCAGUGGAUCCCCAGAUUCAGACAGCGAGAGAGAGGAGCCUCCAACAACGAGUCGCGGCCCAAGGUACCUCCAGACAUUUCCAAAUCAAGAACCGAUAGAUCUUUAAGGACAGUCUUUGAAGUGUUCAGUUUUAAUGAGAUGUCACUGUUUGGAUUCUCUGUCUGAUAUGUGUAAAUGUGGCUCAAACUUGAAUCUAAUCUUGCAGAGUCCGCCUAAUACCCAUUGUGAAUAUGAUGUUUGUUAUUAUGUGUUUGAUAGAUGUUUAUGAAUCGAAUUGAAGAAAAAUUGACACUGCUUAUUUAAACAGGCUGUUAAUGCUUGUCAUAUCAUUUGUUGGAAUUCAGCAAAUUGUAUUCAGGAUGUUAUUUUAUUUAUUUUCAUAUUUCUAUACAUUAGCUCAGUAUUUUAUACUUUUUGUUAUUUGAAGAUAAAUCCAUAUUGUGAUCAGACUUGAUUAAAAAAACAUUGCACUUCUAA